GGCUGGGAUGAGGGAUUCUGGUCACCACCCUCCCUCCACGUGGGAAGGCUCUCCGCAGAGUUUAGCCCUUGGGACGCGGGAAGAGUCUGUAUUUUUUUUUUUUUUUUUGAGGCUUGUUGCUUCCCGACCCUUUCUCUUAGGUUACACCCCCAAACUGCUGAUGCUGGUAACUGCAGUUGGCAAGAUUGUGGCAUUUCGAAAUCACAUGCAUCCUUUCUUUGUACAGGCUGCUCACUCACAGAUAAUGAAAGGUUUGCCAUCGCUAAGGGAAAGCCUUUUUUUUUUAAAAACUAAGAAUCUUCGGCUUUAUCAAGGACUGAUUUAUUUAUUUAUUGCGUCAAAAGCUAAGCUUCUCAUUUUGCUCAUCUCCAGUCCUCUGUUCCAGUGUCCUCUCUGAAUCUAGGCCUCUAAGUGAAGCUGUAGCACAAUUGUUUCUGUGUACACGGGGCAGCUUUCAUCAUGUGAAAACCCUUUCUGCUCAGCCGUUGAGGACUGGUAAACAGGACCUUUACCUGCUUUGAAGAACACGGCUUUCCAGUAACACUGAAGCCCUUUGCUUCCUGUUUUCCCCGCACUUUAGACUGGAGAAACAAGAAUCAAGUUGUGCCCUCUCCCCGUGUACUGCAUUUUCGGAUGUAUUUGGCAUUUCUAUUUAGAGACUCUGCAUAGUUAUUCAACUUUCUUAUAAACAUACACACUGUUAAGUAAAGUAAGUGCUUUUGAAAAAAAAAAACAGGCUAGACCUUGAAAGCAACAACAACAAAAAGUAACUCUUAUUAAAACUUGCUUGCUUGGGGAUCCAUUUAACUCAAGGCAGCUUGAGACAUAUCUCCCUUUACAAAUAUAGGUAAAAUGGGGUGAUGUUUAAAUUAUGUAAGUCCUGAGAAAAUACAGGAAGAUUAAAAGUCUUGGAAUGGGAAAGUAAAGUGGAUCAGACCAGGAAACCCAACAGAAGACAGAUUCAGUAUUAUGGAAUUAAAACCUUUCAUAUGACCAGUGACUUCGGCAAUAGGGUCUCGCAAAUCCCAGGCUGGUCUUUUACUGUGUAGCUGAGAAUGACCUUGAAUUGCCGUUCCUUCUGCUGGACUCAAAGAAACCAAUGAACGGUAUUUGAAGGGUUUUGAAACAAAACUUUGAAGCUAGAGGAGCUACAGUAAGAGCCUUACAUUUCCCUCUCUGAUUUGGGCGCUGACAAGAAAGAAACCUUGGAAACGCCCUCCUUAGAACAACCUGCCAUUCCCGACCAACUUAGAUUCCAGAGAACUUUACAGGUGAUGAUUAAGUGCUUGAAAAUUUGCAUGUGUGUUUGUCAGCAAACUGAAAAGUUCCCCUCUAUUUUGCAAAAGCAUUCCAGAGAUAAUUUACUUUUCCAUUUCACUAAUCUCUGUUUAGCCGAAUAAGACUGGUUCUGAUGGAAGUGAAAUGUAUCUGUGACAUCAUAUCUGCUUUCCUGUUUUACAAUCCUUGUCUGGACCUGCCUGUAUCCCAAUGGCAGGCCUCUUCUCAGAUUCCUGGCUACUGAAGUGUCCUCAAAGUGCAGAAAGGUCAGGAUGGUCAGUCAUUGUCCCUUUCUUCUGUCUAAGCAACCAGUAUUGAGGGUCCCUAUUCCCUUAGGGCUUUCAUCCACAGACAGAGAUGUUAACAGAGUUUAGGAGAAUUAACUAAACUUCUCUUUCACUGAAAAAGAAGUGAACACCAUUGGUUGGUUUCAAGUCCUCUGAUUGAAGAUGGAUUAGCUUUGGAGCCCAGCCAUUGGCUCUUUUCUUUGGAGGUGGGGAGGUCCUCUAAAACAGUGGCUUUUCACCUGGAGAUCACUGAAAACAGUAUCUCAAGAUCCCAUUCUGAGAGAUGCAGAUCUUUUUGACCUAUGCCUGGAAAUCGUCAUCUUUGUCGUUGUCACCAAAUAAAACUUUAGGCAUUAGUUAACCGAAGAUACUAGCUUCUUGACAUAGAGAAACAUUGGCGAGGAAAACCGGGGCUGGUGAAGCCCUUCCUAAUAACUAGAAUCUUUUGAGUAAAUAUACCGUGCUUGGAGGAGACUUUCAGGUGUGGGUGGUUUAGAGCAAAUUUCAGGUUAAAGCAAGACUGUGAGAUGCUAAGACUGAAAUAUUGCUUGUUUUCUGAGGGGGGUUGGGCCUAGAAUUCCCUCAGAUACCAAAGUCUGGAUGUGUAAGGCUUGCCAAGAAUGGUGUGUUUGUGUGGCACCUUCACGGACCAUCCUACUCUCUUUAGGUAACCUUUAGCAUGCUUAAUCAGUGUAAGUGCUAUGCUGAUGAUUUAGAAAAUUGUUUGUAUAUUUCAAUGUAGAUGUAUUCCCCCCAAUUUUGUAUCAAUGAUUGGCUGAAUCCAUGGAUGCAGAAUCCUUACAUGGAAGGUUGACUGUACUGAAAAAAAUCACAAACAGUAAAUCAUAAUCAGGCUUGCCUUUCCUUAUAGUGGUGUUUCUUUUCUAUAAAGUAGGAAUUGCUUCUGUGAAUUAUUACUCUUGUGAUUAAAACCCAGUGAACAUUAGUGUUACAGAGGAGACUAUAAGCCAUCUCUAGGUCUGGGUUAAAUUAUAGAUAAAAUACAGAAGGUUCAUUUCCUGGGAGGUCCCUGGGAUCAGAUAUUUUUAACAUGAUUAUUUUAAUCCAAUACUUUUCUGUAAUCCACCCUUUGUGACAUUAAUGAGAUAUCUUAAACCUUUGUGGCUGGCAAAACAAGUGCCAGCAAAACAGAGUGACAACGUGACCUGUGCCCCAAAUAAACAUAGCUAUUGACUUUUAACUAGUCCAAAUGUUCUGGAAGGCUAUCAGCUUCCUGGUCUUUGAUACACGUGGGCACAGUCAUUGUGACUAAAUCAUCUGAGGCUAUUAUGCUUUUGGGUUGCUCUAGGGACCCUAUUUUUAAAAACAGUUCUAUUCUUAUGCCACUAAUGUUAGUUACAAACACAAUUUUCUUGCCAUUUAAUUAAGACACCAAGAAAGCCACAUUAUUGUUCUGGUUUCAAUACUACCAAACCUUUCUUUACUCACAGGGGACCAUGGAAAAACUUGUUUCAAUGUUACAUAUAUAACUUUUUUUUUUUGAGACAAGUUCUCAUCUUGCAGCCUUGGCUGACCUGGAACUUGCUGUGUAAGCCAGGCUGGCCUUGAACACAGAUAACCACCUAUCUUUGACACUUCAAUGCUGGGAUUAAAGACAUGUACCACCAUAGCCAACCAUAUAUAAGAGUGUUUUGUAAGUAGUAGGUGUAUUGACUUAAACCAAUCCCAGUUUUGAGAAUGUGUGUAAGGGUGGCUUGUGUGUUAUUCCAUUCACUGUAGCAAUCUCUGAGGUACAGAAGUUCAGGGGCCAAAUGCCCUCUGCAGACCACUUUCUCCCAGUUCUGAACUGUGGCUUGGAAGAGACUGCUCAGUAGCACGGAGACACACUGUCUCCUCUGUAUUUCCAGUCCCAUUGUGGUUACCUGAGCCCUGAAGUAUAACUUCUUAACAGAAUUGCUCUGCUCACUGGUGGGCAUCCAAUUCAUGCUGGAUGGCGAUUUCUUCAUCUAAAAAUGUUUGCUCAACAGUUCACUGCAGUUUGUGUGGUUUAAAAAACCGAAUUAUGAACCCCACACGUUUCUCAAUCCAGUUGCUCGUCAGCCUAUUUAGCACAGGUCUUUCAGCUGCACAAGGUCAUUGAAAAUCUGAGUCCAAUUCUAGAAUGUAAGACUCAGUUUUUCUGCCUUCCUACUCUUUGUAAACCAUGCACUCCAGUCCAUCAACCAUACAACAGAUGAAAAUGCUAAAUAACCUCAGAUCUAAGUAGAAACAUAUACCAUAGUUUUGUAGGCACUAUUCCUUGAAAACCCUCAGUAUGAGAUUAAGAUGCUAUUCAUGCCACAAAGUAUAUUUUUCCUGUCUUCUUUUUAAUCUAUUAAGUACUUUAAGGUAGAAAAUAGAGGACAGUUACUUUGAUGCCUUUGCCUUUUUUGUUCUUGUCCCUCUUCCUUUUCCUAUCCUUCCUCUUCCUCUUUCCUUUUUCUUUUUCUUUUCAGGGUCUCACAUCGGUCCUAUGAUUUCCACCUCUUGAGGGCUGUAUUACAGUCAUGGGCCACCAUAUCUAUUCCACUAGGUCAGAAGUUCUAUAAAGACAGCAUUGGUGGCAUCUUUCUUUCAAGGCUUUGACACCCCCUGGCUCCCCAGAAUGUAGGAGGCACACAUCAGGUGUGCGAUGUACUAAUUAUUUCUUAAUAAGCAACUAUCGUUUCAUCAUUAAAAGAAAAAUCCAUUUUAUGUUUUUUCCCCUCAGAGAAUUUGCUUUGGAGGCAGGGUCUUACUACACACACCUUGAAUUUGAGAUGCUCCUGUGCCCGCUACAUGAGUGUGUGAUUACAGCUCUAUGCCUGCAAGCCUGGUUCCAGUUCCACUCAAGGCUUUUAAAAAAUAUCCAAAUUUCAGGAAUUAUGAUGUAAACAUCUUUAAUUAUAAUUAACUACCUGUGUGUAAGUGUGUCUGUGUACCCUCCCACACUCAUGCAUGCCCAUGGGUGUGUGAAAUCAGAGGGCAAUUUGUGGGUGUCAGUUAUCUUCUACAAUGUGAAUUCUAUUGACCAGGCUAUCAAGCUUGGCAGCUGGGGUACGGCUUCCUCAAGGGGCCAUUUGUGUCCAGGCACCUGCGGCUUCCAGGUUACCUGGAGCAUCUUGGACCAAACUACAGACUUGGAAGUGCAAAGCCAGGUCCACCUUUUCUGGAUGUCUUCCAGUAUCGCCCUAUGAGUUCAACAUAGAGCUUCUGGGCCCUUUUCUCAGGCUGCCUUUGUCCGUAGCUGUGUCCCACGGCUCUCCUCUGACAAGGUCCAACUUCUACCUUUGCUUCACCUUGGGAUACAUUUGCUGACUCCAGGAGAUGAAAACCAGUGUUAAGUAAUUAACCCCGUGACCCUUUUAAUGAUCCUGUUUCAUCAUUACAUCACUUUGCAUGGCUCCAGUUUGACUUCUGUCUGCCAGUUUGUUUGAUUGAUUUUUUUUAUUUGCUCAUUUUUAGGAAUCCAUACUGUUGUUGAUUAUCUUUGUGUUAUCUCAAGAACAGCUAAUCUUCAUGAUGCUAAUUUUCUUUUUGUCAAAAAAAUUGAAACAUUGCUCAUAGUCCUGUAAAGUUACCAAAAUCAUGGUGAGCUGCCAGAUAACCUAAUAAUUUAUAACAGCAAAAUAUCCUAUUUCUCUAAUAGUGAAAUACUAACUUACUGGUCAGUGCUGACUAUUUUUUUUUUUCAUCUCACAAUGUAGGUCAGACUGACCUGGAACUUGUAGCAAUCCUCUUGUCUCAGUAAAGGAGUAUAGGUAUAAGCCUAUAUAGUAGGUUUAUAUGUAUAAACCAUAAUGCCUGACUUUAUAUUUAAAAUCAGCUAGUUUUUAGGCCUUUGACAGUUUCUGCCAACUCCUAAUAAGUACAUAUUUUUCUGACAUACGACGUGGGUGGGUGAGACAUUUCUCAGAAAAACUGAACCUAAUACUCUGCUGUUAGAGUAACAUUAGGAAGCAACAAAAUGGAUAACUCAUUUAGCCUUGGUUCUAAAAAUUCACUUUCUGAUUUUUAUUUUAUGCAAGCCGGGGGUAAACCGUUCAUAUUAAGUUGGAGAACAGAUGUAACAAACAAAUCAGUUCAUUAAAUGGUUAGACUGCUUCUCCACAAAAGGAAAAAAGGGAGGAGAAUUAGAGCAGAGAGAGGUAGAAAGGGCUGCUCAGACUGUCAACAAAAAGGGGAAGAGAGGUGGGGGAGGAAGGGAUGCAGUGGAGAAAGAUGGAACCAUUGUGGUCAAUACCUUUGCUUAAAAGUUUGGGCAAUGGUAGUAACUUUAACUGAUGAAGAAAAUUCUUUUUUAGGCCUUUGUCCUAAUCCAAUAUUUGUCUUGUAAGUAUUUAUCUUGUGCGUAUUGUAUGAAGAGACAGGUCCUGGAAAUUCAACUGAGGGCCUUCCAUAUGCUCCUCCACACAGAUAUAUCUCCAGCCUUUUUUAACUUUUAGUACUGAGACAGGAUCUCCCUAAAUUACCCUUGAACUUCCCAUCCUUCCGCCUCAGCUUUCUUAGCUGUGAUGACAAACUUAUAAACCACCAGGGCUGGAUUAAUACUAUAUUUGAAACUCUGGAGAAACUCGGUAUCUGUCUGAAGUAUAUGAAUGCUCUGUAGAGUUCUUAAUUUUUUUUAUUAUAAGUCAACAGUCCAGGCUAUAAAUCCUCUGUAGAAAGUGCCACUAACCUCAGUGUUUUUUUAGGGUGAGAAGGGGAAGAGAGUGAGCCACACCUACCUCUCACUUGCUGUCCUUCCUCCUCUGGUAGCCAUGCUCCUAGCUGGGGAGAAGGGCAGGGAGAGAUGCUGCAGGAGUUCCAGUACAACAAACAGCCCUCAGCAGUGUUGUUUCCCUUUAUGACCCUUGGAUCCUUUCCUAAAUCCAGCAGACAUCUGACUCCCUGGUGUGAUCAUCACACUCAUGGUCAGAAUUGCAGCACACAGGCUGGCACUGUGGUUGGGAAUUGUGAGUCACUCCUCCAGGUUCUUUCUGGUGUGGAAGUGAGUGUCCGAAAGGGAAAAGAGCAGUCUGUCAGGUGAGCUCAUCAUUGUCAUCAUCACCAGCUUCCUGAGGGACUACGCAGUGUAAGUGAAAAGAGCACCUGUCAGACUUCCAGGAAGUCACUGUCUCAUGUGACCAUGGGAAGAUAAUUCAUGCCAUACAUCCCAUGGAAAUAGUUAAGUUGAAGAAAAUUCUUUUGAGAAUGUAUUUCUCUGAAGACUCAUACAGAGUCUUCUAAGGAUGACCACAGAAUCCUUCAGUUCUUUUACUCCUUCAUCUUUCAUUUUCAACAAUACAACUUAACUCUGUAACAAGCUCAUUUGGAGCUGGAAGCUCUUAGAAAAAUGUUAAUGUAAUAAAACUCAGUGACUUAUGUUA